CCCUGCUCAGGCUUGUGGCCUCCUACUUCCAGGCCAUGAUGCCAACAGGUGCCACUCUGGGAACUGCAGCUCCUCCACUGCCCAGCUCGGAGCCCCACUACUGCCUGGGUCCUGGCCAGGUAGCCGCUGGCCUCCCUGUCGCCGAUUCAAGAGAUGCGCACGAUGCAGAAGGGACAGCCAGGAGAAAUUCAGCAGAGUGAUGGUGUAAUUACAGCCUCCGUCUGCCAAGGGCCCCACCAGCCUUCAGGAGCAGCACUGCAGGAGCCAGCCGGCGGCUUCCGGGAGCUUUGCUGCGUCAUAGCUUCCCCCAGCCACAGAGCCAAGGGUUGGCAGGGCGAGUGGGCCAGAGAUUUCGAUGGAGGCAGAAGAGCUGGGGCGCCCUGGAGGCUCUCCCACAGAAUCUCCAGUUGCUCAGUGAGUGUGAUAUUGGCUGGAGUCUCAGAAAAGGACUGACCACUGCCCAAGUCAGA